GUGUCAGCAGCCGCGGUAAUACGUAGGUGACGAGCGUUAUCCGGAAUUACUGGGCGUAAAGCGCACGCAGGCGGUUGAGAUAGUCUGGCGUAAAAUCUCCUGGCUUAACUGGGAGGGGUCGUUGGAAACUGCUCGACUUGAGGCAACGAGAGGGGUGUAGAAUUCCCGGUGUAGUGGUGGAAUGCGUAGAUAUCGGGAGGAAUACCAGAGGCGAAAGCGGCACCCUGGCGUUAGCCUGACGCUCAUGUGCGAAGGCGUGGGGAGCGAACGGGAUUAGAUACCCCCGUAGUCC
rnacentral:rRNA from 1 species